rnacentral:rRNA from 1 species
CCUACGGGAGGCAGCAGUGGGGAAUAUUGGGCAAUGGAGGCAACUCUGACCCAGCAACGCCGCGUGAGCGAUGAAGGUCUUCGGAUUGUAAAGCCCUUUAAGCGGGGACGAAGAAAGUGACUGUUCCCGCAGAAUAAGCCUCGGCUAACUACGUGCCAGCAGCCGCGGUAAUACGUAGGAAGCAAGCGUUACUCGGAAUGACUGGGCGUAAAGGGUGCGUAGGUGGUUUGGCAAGUUGGUAGCGUAAUCCCGGGGCUCAACAUUAGUGCUACUAUCAAAACUGUUGAACUUGAGUUCAGGAGGGGUGAGUGGAAUUCCCAGUGUAGCGGUAGAAUGCGUAGAGAUUGGGAAGAACACCAGCGGCGAAGGCGAUUCACUGGACUGUAACUGACACUGAGGCACGAAAGCGUGGGGAGCAAACAGGAUUAGAUACCCCAGUAGUC